AACUGAUAAGAGGAACACACAUUUAACUCAUUUGAGCUAGUAUGGCUAUAUUAGCCAGCUUACAUUUGAUUUACAGUUACUGCUAUCAUAAAAAUACACUUAUAUGUAGGAUUAAAAUUCUACGUGUCACAUUUAAUGUCCAACAACAAAUAUUUUAUUCAGAAUUCUUGCGCUAUUAUUCUGUUCUUCUCCGUCUGUGUAACGUGCAUGCGCUCAGCAGUGCUCGCUAAGCCUCGCCCACUCCUGACAGCAAAAUGGAUAUAUUUGCAUUACUUUCUAACAUUUACAGAUGAGAAAUAUACCUGUGACGUGUCAGUUAUGCACUGAGGAAAACACAACGUCUCAAAUGCAUUAAACAACACAAAUAUUCGCUGUUUGUCAUGGUGGAUCGAUUUGAUCCAUGAUCGACAUUAAGGGCUGCUUAAGAAUAAGCGUGCACAUCAAAUUAUCCUGACUCACUGAACCUGGAUCGCAUUAGUGAGAUUGCGUGAACUUAAAUUGUCAUUUAUGAAACCGCUUUAGUCCCGAUUGAUUUGUUAGGCUAUUUCAAGUCAGGUUUUGGACUUUAAUCCCCGCUUUUCUUAGUGUCUUUUAUGGAACAGGCCCCUGAUCCAGCUGAUCAAGUCCUUCAGGUUUAUUUGAAAACUACAUGAUAUGUGUGUUGGAGCAGGGUUGGAACUAAACUCUGCAGGGACACCCCUGUCCUAGACCAUUCUUGUGAUUUUCACCAAAUUUGACUCAGAUCAUCUUCAGACCAUGCUGGCAAAAAGUUGUGGAUUUUGUGUCGAUAUACGAAACGGUUGUCGUUUAAUGCCUUCUCUGGUCUAGACUCGGGGACUGGAGCCUUCUCUGGGCUAGACUCGGGGAUAGAAGCUCUCUCUGGGCAAGACUGGGGAGACCAUGAGGUAGGUAUCAGGUAAGUGAAGGUGUCUUUAUUUGACAGGUUAACUGGAAGCAUAGAGGCAGAGCAACAACAGGUGAGCAGGUACAUCUCAGGUAAGAUCAGCCAGCUUAGCAUGAUUUGCUUAUUGGAGCUUAUCCCUUUCUUUCCACAGGGUUUCAAAAUGGGCUUGACAGAAGAUGAGGAUCUGGAUGAAAAGGUAAGGAUACAGGCGUAGGGUGAGCCAGGUAAGUCCUUGGUAGCGACUUUAAACCUCUGAGGUCGACAAACGUGGAUAUGCGUUUUGAGGCAGAUUUUCCUGAUAAGGCCGAAAUGAGCUUGAAUUAUUCUGCCAUUUUUGAUCGUACAGAUAAGAGCAAUACACCAUUCGAAUCUGUAAGGGGUCUACUUUUAUUUGUAUACACUCAUAAUAACAACUAAACUUUGUGCUUUUGAAGAAUAAAGAAAACAGAGUGCGUUCUCAGUCUUCACUCUUUCCGCGAACUGCUUUUUGAAACACGUCACUAAAAUGAACUGUAACUCAGCAAAUACUCCACAGAGACAUGAGAAAUACAGGUGUGUCUCAAUAAAUUAGAAUGUCGUGGAAAAGUUAAUUUAUUUCACUAAUUCAACUCAAACAUUUUUAGUGAGUUGUUGGCCUUCUGGAAAGUAUGUUAAUUUACUGUAUAUGUACUCAAUACUUGGUAGGGGCUCCUUUUGCUUUAAUUACUGCCUCAAUUCGGCGUGGCAUGGAGGUGAUCAGUUUGUGGCACUGCUGAGGUGGCCUUUGACAGUGGCCUUCAGCUCGUCUGCAUUUUUUGGUCUCUUGUUUCUCAUUUUCCUCUUGACAAUACCCCAUAGAGAGGUUCAGGUCUUGUGAAGUUCACCCAAAUUCUUGAAUCGAUUUUGCUUGACAAUCCUCUGCGGUUCUCUCGGUUGGUUGUGCAUCUUUUUCUUCCACACUUUUUCCUUCCACUCAACUUUCUGUUAACAUGCUUGGAUACAGCACUCUGUGAACAGCCAGCUUCUUUGGCAAUGAAUGUUUGUGACUUACCCUCCUUGUGAAGGGUGUCAAUGAUUGUCUUCUGGACAACUGUCAGAUCAGCAGUCUUCCCCAUGAUUGUGUAGCCUAGUGAACCAAACUGAGAGACCAUUUUGAAGGCUCAGGAAACCUUUGCAGGUGUUUUGAGUUGAUUAGCUGAUUGGCAUGUCACCAUAUUCUAAUUUGUUGAGAUAGUGAAUUGGUGGGUUUUUGUUAAAUGUGAGCCAAAAUCAUCACAAUUAAAUUACUGAACUUUCAUUCAUCAGAAAACUUAAUGAAUUAUAAUUGGUCAAAUCAAUAUGUAAUAUUUUGUGGAGUAGAUCUCAAGCAUUCAGUGUGAAAGUAAGUUAUUAUUAAUGACGAUGCAUGUCUGAUGAUUUUAAUCAUUGAAUUUUCCAUUGUUAAAAGUAAAGACUGCUGAUGGUUUAUUUUAACUGUUUGUAUAUACAAGAGUGAUAAAAAUUAAUUCUGUGGUAAUUCAUGUUCGAAUAAGAGGUAUAUUGUAAUGCAAUGGUGGUUAUGAUAAUGGGUGUGGUAUUUAAAUGUAAGUUGUUGUAUAUUGAAAUGCAGUAUGUAAGCUUUUAAUGAAUGAACAUUGGUAAAUGAACGAUAACGUCAAAUUGGUGAUUUUAAAAAGUGGGUGGAGGAUUUGUAUUGUUUAGCACACUGAGGAAGGCCUCUGAGCCAAAACGUUUGUGUCCUUGUCCUAUUGGUGAUAAAUGUAGAAUAAAAUGAAAAAAAAGACUGUUUCAGGUGAGUGCGGAUCAUGGAUUUGUAUAAUAAGUGAUUUAAUGGAUUAACGCACCUAAACAAAAGAUCAAGCAACGGAAGAGCAUGGUGCAAACUACUUUUGUGGAACACUAUUAGUAUGUUAAAAUGAAAAUGAAAAGAGGCAAUGCUGUUUGAUAUAUUUUGUAUCACUGUAAUGUUAACAUUCCUGCAUUCCUACAAUUCUGCAGCUAUUAAUAUGUUCAAAUGAAAAUGAAAAAAGGCAGUGGUGAUUGAUAUCAUAUUUUGUCUUAUUGUAAAUACAGUGUGGAAAAUUGCAGUAGCCAAGGUUAGCUGACAGACAUUAUCAAGUGCGCUGCUGUUCCAUUUGUAGAAUUAUCGGACUUGUGUUGUCCCGUUCCCAGGAGUUCACACUUAUGGUAUGCUGGUGCGAUUUGGCUUCCACUCUUCUCUCCGAACAGAUAUUUUUAGAUGUUUGUUAAAUAAACAUCUAGAGUUUAAGUAUGCUGUUUUUAUCACCUGUGUCUUGUUUCGUUUAUGCAGUGAUGCGUUGUAUUUUACCUACGUCCGCCGGGAUUUUGCUUCUAUUGGUGUUGGCCUGGAGGCUUUCUUUUGGCUUUGUGGACUUACAGGUGUGCCUAUUUGGAGCUGGUGUUGACGCGGCUUUAACGAACAUGGCCUUACUGUACACCUCCCGCCAGCUUUAAAGACACCUAUGACCACUGUGACAGGGCUGGAUUGCUGUGGUCCAAGCGGUACACUCAUUGGAGCUCUGGGCGAAACUAUGUUUCUUCCUCGUCUUCUUCCAUCCCAGUUCAACUGCUGAUGAAGGAUCAGAAGACGGUCUCAUUCUGGUGUUGACUUUACUAACUUAUCAUUUCUGCCGUGUGAGUUGAAUUCUUGCACUGCGGUGACUGCAAGCCCUUUAAAUGUCGCGUUAUUAAAUGUGCGCUCUGUGAACAAUAAAGCUUGCUUCUGUCAUAUUUUAUCAUGGACAAUAAGCUGGACUUGUUGCUUCUUACGGAAACUUUGCAUAAACAGGACAAUGGUCGUCUUUUUAAUCAGCUGACUCCAGCAUGCUUUGGACUCUUUGAUGUCUCACGGACUACAGGUAGAGGUGGUGGUAUUAUAGUGGUCUGUAAACUGCAAUACAAUAUACACCCUGUGUCCGUACCUCUUCUUAAAACAUUUGAAUGCCUUGUCUCAAGUGUAUCUUCUCAUGCUGUUCCCCAUGCUGCUGUGGUCACUAUUUAUAGACCUCCAAAAUCAAAUAAAGAUUUUUUCUCCAAGUUUAAUGAUCUACUGUCCAUGUUGUCUGUCAAAUUUAAGAGAAUUUUGAUUCUGGGUGACUUUAACAUACAUGUAGAUCAGAAAGCCUGUGCUAUGGCCAAGGAUUUUCUAUCCCUCUUGGACUGCUUUAAUCUCUCUCAGUUUGUAAAUGUUCCCACUCACUGUAAAGGUCAUACAUUGGAUUUAGUCAUUGCAAAUUAUUAUUUUCUCUCUAACUUUUCUGUUGUGGAUGUUGGUCUUUAUGACCAUUUAGCUAUCUUCUUUAAUAUUGAGAUAUCACAUUCUAGUAGAGACUUCACAUAUUAUUUCACUCCAUAAAUUAGAUUGUCUCUUCUUUAGAUGUUAUUUUAUUAUUUAACAAUGCCCUCACAACCAACUUGGACAUCUUUGCUCCCAUACAAAUACGUAAUGUCUCAUUUGUAAAGUUGUCCCCUUGGUAUAAUGAUGAUUUGUGAUCACAGAAGAUUGGAAAUUGAAGCAAAAGGGGCGUUUCUUUGGUUUAAAUGUGUUCCACCAAACUUGGAAAAACUGCUUGGCACACUACAGAGUAGCUAUUGAAACUGCAAGAUCUACAUACUUUUCGUGUCUUGUUGAAAAUAAUCAAAACAAUCAUAGACAGCUUUUUCAUACAAUUAACAGUCUACUUAAUGUAGAUAGUGCCAGUUCUUUGACAUCAUCCGAUUGGUUGUGCAAUGAUUUUCUCAAAUUUUUCAGUGACAAUGUUCGCACAAGUAUUCGUAGUUCCUUUGGGUCUGCUGUUUUAACAGUCAACACAUUAAGCUUUUCUGGCAUUUCAUUUUCCAAAUUUACUCCAUUAUAAUCUGAAUUACUCUGCAAGCAGGUUUCUCGUAUGAAAGCUUCCAUUUGCAUACUUGAUCCUUUGCCUUGUAGCCUGUUUAAAUCUCGCUUUGAUCCUUUAUGUCCCUCAGUUCUUGCUAUAAUAAAUGACUCCUUGUCAACUGGUGUGGUGCCAGCAGAACUUAAAACUGCUGCUGUCACUCCUAUUUAAAAAAAAAAAAGAGCUUUAAAACGGUUUUUAAAACUCUGAUGUGAACAUUAUUUCAAAUUUUCGCCUGAUCUCAAAUUUUCCAUUCCUGGCUAAAAUCUUAGAGGUUGUGGUUGCGGCAAAAAACAAAAACUGUAUUUGGUUUGUCAGAGACAGUUAUUGGCUGGUUUAGGUCCUAUCUUACUGACCGCAGUCGAUUUGUUUUUAUGGGUGUCUAUAGACCCAAGGUUGGUCCUGUUCAUACUGGUGUCCCACAGGGGUCAGUAUUGGGUCCAUUACUUUUAGUAUGUAUAUUUACUCACUUGGCCUUAACACUUCUAUGGUGAUGAUACUCAAAUUUAUAUUCAUUGAAGACUAGGUCAACAUGUGGACAUUGUGCAUCUUUCUAACUGUAUCACUUAGAUCAAGAAUUGGAUGUCUAAUAAUUUUCUGUCUUUAAAUAGCUCCAAAACGGAAGUUAUGCUCCUCGGCUCUCCCCAUCAACUGCGAAAUACUGGUUCUCUUACUUUGUCUGUUGAUGGUGUUGCUUUGGAGUUUCAAAGCAAACUAAAAAAUCUUGGUGUCAUCUUUGAUACUACGCUGUCAUUCAAGCCUUUUGUGCAGAAUACAGUUAAUACAUCCUUUUUUCACCUCAGAAAUAUAGCACGUUUACGUCCUAUGUUGUCCUUCUCAGUUGCUGAGAGGUUGAUAAAAUCUUUUGUCUUUUCACAUGUUGACUAUUGUUAUGGUCUUCUUGCUGGAGUAUCUAAAUUCUCCGUUAACAAACUUCAAUAUUUACAAAAUUCAGCUGCUAGAAUUCUGUCUGUGGUCAGGGCUGGUGAUCAUAUUACCCCUGUUUUGGAGUCUUUGCACUGGCUCCCAUGUCAGGUACCGUAUUGAUUUUAAAAUUCUUAUGCUAACAUAUAAGGCUUUGCAUGAUCUGACUCCUCUGUACUUGACUGACGUUUUAAUGCCUUACACACCAUGUCGUAAUCUGCAUUCCUCUCAGAGUGGUCUUUUAGUUGUUCCCAAGACACAGCUUGAGGGGUGUAAGAGCAUUUUCUUCUUAUGCUCCUAAGCUUUGGAAUUCUCUCCCAGCAGACAUCAGGGAAGCAAAUUCACUAGACUUUUAAAACUCUCCUUAAAGCAUUCUAUUUUAGGAUUGCUUUUACUUGAUUAUUCAUUUUAUGUUUGCAUUGUUUGUUGUAUAUUUAUUGUAUUUAAAGUGUAUUAUUAUUAUUAAGAAAUCCUAUAAUGUUUGUUAUAAUCCUCCCUUCUGUCCUCUGGCAAAAGAACACUGAAUUCUGUUGUUUUUUCUGCUCAAGUGAAAUCGAAAGUAAACAGAUCUCUGCAGGAAAAGACCAAAUUACAGUAAAAGAUUUAAUUGGUGUCUGUGUGUCUGUGUGAGAGAGAGAGAGAGAGAGAGAGAGAGAGAGAAUUUAUUAAUAUAAUGUGAUAAACAUUAGCCUUCCUUGACUCAAAUCUUUGUGCUUUUGUUUCUGUUGUUGUUUCCAAUCCUGUGACACUGAAAGAGUUAAUGUAUAGACCUUGGCCAUGUUGAAAUCAUAAAGAAAAUUAAUGCUGCCCAAGACUUGCAGCACAUCAGUUAUGAUCCCUAAAUCCAUUAAAUCCUAAGAAAAGUUCAAAUGGGAUAUUAUACCACAGGGUGAUUCAUCUGUGAUUAUGUGUCAAGCACAGUUGUGCACUCAAACACACUUAGACUGACCUUUACAUGCUAUUGCCAUUCUGUCUUGCAGUUCUACUGUUUGUUUUUGUCUUUAGGAGUCUCAAGUUUUGGACUGUUGCACUAUUUCCCCUCAGAACUUUCUGUUAAAAAAAACCCACUAUUGGGGUUGUAUUCAUGCGUCUUAGUUUCCUUUGCAAUACAUCAAAGUUGACUCCCACGCUGCAUCUAUCCAGCGAGCCAAUCAGUGCUCCGCAGGUCAGCUGUGCCGCCCACUGAACUGAGUCAGAGGUGAAAGCUGUAUUGUGAUCUUUGCUAACGGUGUGUGCGUGCCUAUAAAAGAAAGCACACACACACAUGCAAAGCAGAAUUUCUUCAGUGUACUGAGUUGUGGUGACAAUAAAUGGGUUAUUCCCGCGUACCUGAUCAUCUCUGGUAAAAGUCUCUAACCUGAUGCUUCAUAGCAGAUCAGCUCACCUGUUCAAACGGAUCACUUCAACCUCCUAGACAAGCCAUGGAGUUUGAGAACAGCAAAGAAGGAUGUAACAACUGCAGAAAGAAUUGCGAUGACAAAUGCCAAUGUCAUACAAUAACCCAAAGUCCUAAACCUGAGCAAAGGACUGAGGAGAAGACGUCUGAGACGCCUGAAGGGCCUUCAAAAGAGUGUGGCUUCUGUGAUUGCUGCUACUGUUAUUUCGUCCCCUGUGACCCUUGUGAUUGUGGCUCCGGUGAUGGUGGCUCAUGUGAUUGUGGCUCAUGUGAUUGCGGCCCCUGUGAUUGUGGCUCCUGUGAUUGCGGCUCCUGUGUUAUUCAGUGAAUGUUUGCAGGAUGUUGGUCAGACAGGUGAGAAACAUUUGUCUCUUUAAUGGCUGCUUCUAAAAAUAUGGACAUUUUACAAUUUCUUUCCAGUUUUAUCAAAGUUUUAUCUAAUUGUGGCUGUUUAAAUGCACUCUGAACAUUGAUCAGUACUUCCACAACAUUUGAAAAUCUUAAUGAUAAUUUCAACAUUCACUAAUGCAUAUUCAAAUUAAAAAUUGUGCCAGCAUUAUCUAGUGCACUGUGAAUUAACAUGAAUAAACAUUCACAAAGGUUAAUAAAUGUAGCUCAAAUACAUGUUUCAUUGUUAGACCACACCAGCUUGUGCAUUAAAGUGAACAAAUGAAACUUUAUUGCAAAGUGUUAGUAAAAAGUAAAAGUGACAAGCUUUUAUUUAAUUCUUAACCUAGUGAAAAAAUAAAUAUACUAAAAUUUAUUUGAAAUACAUUUUUUACUAUUAAGUAUAUUACAAAUACAUUUACAUUUUUAUGUACUUAAUAAAAAUACCCUGUAAUUGUACUUUUGGUAUACUUAAAUUGGAACAACUAAUUUUGUACUUAAUGCAUUUAAGUAGUGCUGAGGUCCAACUAAAGAUAGUAGAAAGUAUAUUUGAUUGUCCUAAAGUGGAACUAUUGCAAAUGUACUUCAGGUACACUUUCAAUAUUUUGCAUGUGAAGACUGAUAUUAUUCAAAGAUCAUACAAUCCUUAUCAAUAUUGACAUUAAAACACAUUUUAGUCUUAAGAAAUUCUUAUUAAGAAAUGUGCAUUGUGCACAAGUAGUACUCCAUAAAGUUUAAUUAUAUAUUUUUAUCAGUAAGUCUUUUGUGAUAUGUCCAUACAUAUGUUAAUAGGUUAGAACUAUCUUAGUAUGAAAUAAAUGUAUUUUAAAUAUUACUUUUUACUAGGGUAAAUAUGUCAUUUUUAUGGUUGUUUUGAUUUUUUAACUUAUAGAAAAGACACUGCUCAUUUCAACCUUUUUAUUGGUAGGCAUAGAAAAUAUUUCAUGUUAAUACUAAACCUUGUUUUUAUCAUUAUUAUUAUGAAGUAAUUCAUCUGUCCUGAGUUAGAUGGAUUUGUGGAGACAACGCAGUACUCAAGACAGGUUUCAGCUCCAGUGUAGAACAUCAUCAACACAAAGACAACACCACUGUGAUCUACAAUAAACAUCAGGACAUCUUUAGUGCCAUCAUGGAUGUUAAACACCAUAAAGACAAUAUUAUCUGUACAUAUAAAUACAGUUCCAGCCAAAAGAUCAAAGUAAACUAAAUAGCAAAUCAGUUAAAUGCUGAAUGUUUUUUUUUCUCUGAAUAUCUGUAUUUUUAAGAAAAUUUGUGUUUUAAUUUUAAAAAAUGUUAGAUUUUAC